rnacentral:lncRNA from 1 species
GUAAAUGAUUCACAAUUAAUAUUUUUUUUUCUUUCAGUCUUGACGAUAAAAUCAGGUACAAUAUAUCCACUGUAUCACUCUAAGGUUCUUGCUGUGAUCUGUGAGAAAUGUUUCCUUUAGAAGCAACUGUUUCUAUCUGUAUGGUGAAAGAGAUUAAAAGAUUUGUAAGAACUUAGUUUUAUAAAAUUUGGUUCAAAUUCAAUAUUUAAUUUGACAACAUUCUCUAAAGACAUUUAAAUGAUUUCUUUCUUUAACAUACUGUGUCGUUCAAAGGUUAGAACUUCAGUUGUUGGCAUGCCGAUGCAGCAAGCCUCAUAAUUCAACCUGCUAGUUAAAAUAAUGCCAGCUGGGAACUGAUGCUGUGCUUCUUAAGCUCCUACCACUGUAAACGAGCGCGAAUCUGCCUAUAGAUGCCUGUUGCUUGGUAGCUUUCCUUGCAAGGUGAAGGCUGCAGUGUGUGCACCCUGUGCUAUGCAGUUGAGGGAAGAAGGAAACAAGAAUAUUCAGGCUGCCAGAGAACAAAUGGCAAGGACAAAGAGCAAAGAGAAAUACUAGCAGUGAUUUUACCCAUGAUGACUGUCAUUACAACCAUUGUACCUGCCUGCCAGAGCUUUGCUUUGUGCCGCUUUCAAAGUCUACUUUUGCCUAAGUUUGGACUAGAAGACCUUGGAAGAACACUGGCAUGGAGUGUCAGGUGGUCUGAAGAAAGAUUACCAAGAUGCUGGUGGCAAUAGUUAUUCUAGUUCUGCAGUCUGAAACUAAAUCAACAGCUUUAUCAGCAAGGCUGAAUUUUAAGGAGAGCUACACUAGGAACUGAUGUCAACAGUGCUGGAGGAUGGGCUUUGAGGCUUAAGUUCUGAGGCUAUAUUUUCCUUCCAGUGAAACCAACGCAGUUUUAGAGAAGACUUAACGGGAAGAGGGGUCUUUAUUUGAACUUUUCACUGUUGCUUUUUAAUAAACUAGUUCGUGUGGCCUCUUUAACA